GACGAACGCUGGCGGCGUGCUUAACACAUGCAAGUCGAACGGAAAGGCCCUGCUUUUGUGGGGUGCUCGAGUGGCGAACGGGUGAGUAACACGUGAGUAACCUGCCCUUGACUUUGGGAUAACUUCAGGAAACUGGGGCUAAUACCGGAUAGGAGCUCCUGCUGCAUGGUGGGGGUUGGAAAGUUUCGGCGGUUGGGGAUGGACUCGCGGCUUAUCAGCUUGUUGGUGGGGUAGUGGCUUACCAAGGCUUUGACGGGUAGCCGGCCUGAGAGGGUGACCGGCCACAUUGGGACUGAAAUACGGCCCAGACUCCUACGGGAGGCAGCAGUGGAGAAUAUUGCACAAUGGGCGGAAGCCUGAUGCAGCAACGCCGCGUGCGGGAUGACGGCCAUCGGGUUGUAAACCGCUUUCGCCUGUGACGAAGCGUGAGUGACGGUAAUGGGUAAAGAAGCACCGGCUAACUACGUG
rnacentral:rRNA from 1 species